UUCUGUAAGGCGAACGGUGAUGCGAUGCCUAACUGCCUAAAAAGGAAAAGGGGGUGCGAGGGUGAAAAAUAGAUCUAAGGUAAAUGCACUACUGAUAAGGGAAGGUUUCGGUAAUAACCUCCGGGAUGAAGCUCCUCGUAAUCGGCGGAGUCGCCGGUGCAGCUGCAGAUGAUGGAGCCGCUAAUGGGAUCUCGGAUGAGGCCUCAGCUUUUGCCGGUGGAGCUCCUUCUUCCGUCAAUGGAGUCGCCGCUGUCGCUACUGAAAUCUCCAUCGAAGGCGCCAUUUCUGGAGCUUC
rnacentral:lncRNA from 1 species